AUUGAACGCUGGCGGAAUGCUUUACACAUGCAAGUCGAACGAUGAAGUCCAGCUUGCUGGACGGAUUAGUGGCGAACGGGUGAGUAACAUAUCGGAACGUACCCAGUAAUGGGGGAUAACUAGUCGAAAGACUGGCUAAUACCGCAUACGCCCUGAGGGGGAAAGCGGGGGAUCGAAAGACCUCGUGUUAUUGGAGCGGCCGAUAUCUGAUUAGCUAGUUGGUGGGGUAAAGGCCUACCAAGGCGACGAUCAGUAGCUGGUCUGAGAGGACGACCAGCCACACUGGAACUGAGACACGGUCCAG
rnacentral:rRNA from 1 species